rnacentral:sRNA from 1 species
GCUGGGCAUGGUGGCACAUGCCUGUAAUCCCAGCAUCUCAGGAGGCUAAGGCAGAAGGAUCACAAGUUCAAAGCCAGCCUCAACAAAAGCUAGGUGCUAAGAAACUCAGUGAGAUUCUGUCUCUA